AUGAACCCCGUUCUUCAUCACACUUUGUUCGUUUGGUCAAGCUUUUCUCACCUUCCUCAAUCAACAAAAAUGCGCUGCUAUAGACCUGCGUUCAAAACCGUCUCCAAUGAAAAUCAUCACGACAACAUCGUUCACCGCCUCUUUGCUCGAAGCACUGUGUCGCUUCUAUUCGGUUUCGCCACAUUUUCAUUCGCCACUCACAAGGCUCCGCUCUCAGAUUCCAACUCUCAUCUCGCAUUUAAUCGAAUCAAGAGCACGCAAGGAACAGAAGAAGGAGCUUUCAAUUUCAAUUCUAUCAUGUUUCGAACAGGGAAGCAAUAA